rnacentral:lncRNA from 13 species
AGAAUUUCUCUAGCUCUCUCAGUAACACACAGAAGCAUUAAAAAAUGUUCAAUGCAUUGAGGAAAUACUCUUCCUCACAAGAGGAAGCAGAGGGGCAGGCACUGAUUUCUUCUCUCUCGACCAGCAUAGGACCCGAGGGAAUGGCCUGAAGCUGUGUCAGGGAAGGUUUAGGCUGAAUAUUAGGAAAAGGUUCUUUACCCAGAGGGUGGUUGGGCACUGGAACAAGCUCCCCAGGGAAGUGGUCACAGCACCAGCCUGACAGAGUUCAAGAAGCAUUUGGACAAUGCUUUUGGGGAUGGUGCUGUGCAGGGCUCAGUGGCUAUUCUGUGAUUCUAUGAUUCUCCACCAACAGAAACAUAGCCAAAUGAAGCAAGAGUGCCUGGUUUGGAGUGAGAGCCAUGUUUUCCUCUCAUCUGUCUGCUGGAAAUACAAUGCAGCAAAGAGGAAACUGACUGGAAGGUUCCUGGAGUAUGUUUUUGCACACUGGUGACUAUUUCUGCUAUGAAGAAUGUUUGCCAUAGAUAAUUCACUUUCACAGUGGUGAAAAUACAGAUUAAUUUCUUGGCAUACCCAGGAACUGAAAAAAGAGAUCAGGGGAAUUACUUGGGUGAAGCAAAAAAAGAAGAACUAGAGAAUAAGAUUCAAAGAGAUGUGGCUUCAGCCAGUGAAAAAUAUAGUUGUAAUAUGCCAAGAGCCCUCAUGGAUAAAGGAACAUUGAGGAGCAAACCACAUCAGUAUGUGAAGAGAAAACAAAGGCAACAGAAUUCCCAUCACAACUGGCUGCUUUCAAAAUGGCUUUGCAAGUUGGGAAGUGCCAAGGAGGAAAUCAGUUUAAAGGUUUUGCUUGCAAUCUGUAGAAUUUAGUGCAGCAUUUCAUCAAGAAGUCUGAAGAGUUGAUUUGCCUAAUGGCAAAAUAAGGUCCAGAUUUGCCUACUGGCAAAAUAAGGUCUAAAGGACAAACUGACUUGCUAACGUAUAGCAAGAGGUAUCAGAAGUUUUAGUGCCUUGGGAACAGACACAUUUUUCCCCUUCAGCUUUGCCUGUAGACCAGCAGGGAAUUUGUCUGCUACGGAACCAUAUCUGGGUUUUUUGCAAUUCCUUACCCUGCCUGUUCAUUGCUUGCUCAUCGCCAGGAGGUAGAGAAGCAGCCUUGGCUGGGUGGGUGGCUGCAGCAGCAGGUGAUUUGAACACAGCCCUAAGACAGCACAUGCUUUAACAUCCUCGUUGGUUCUUGCCCAAGAGAAUACAUAUCACUUAUCUGGUCUUCAUUCUAUAUAAAAAUCCUUAUCUAAUAGUUUAUCAUCAACACCUGUAUUUCUUUCUCAGUAGAAAAUGCCUUACACAAAAAACCCCAGGUUUCAUUGAAAGCCACUAGCAUGGGCCUCUGCAGGUUCAAGUUCAUUUUUCUAGAAAGCAUAUGUAUAAACACAAUAAUCCAGAACUGUAUUCUGCUGGAUAUCUUCUGCAUCAACUUAACUGCAAGAUGACACUGGAUCUUUGAAAAAAACGUCAAAACAACAAAAAAACCACAAAAAAAUGCUGCCAGUCUGUGGUCUCAAGACAGGGCACAGAACUCAGGUCUGUCAGCUGUUAAAACUGGAACAUUUGAUUGCCCUUCUGCUUGGGACCAGAGUAAACUCAGGCACAGCCAGAAACCCUGAAAGGGAAAUGAUGUUUCAGGCUUUUUAUUGCAAAGAACUAAAAUAAUAAACAGUGGAUAUUAAAAUCAUGUUCCAGGCACUGUUACAUUAGCAGGUUUAAUAACUUUCCUCAGAUAUUACUUUGUUGUAAUUCGUAAAAUGACCAUGACUACAUUAGCAGUGUGGGUGACUACUGUGUUGGUGAGAUAUAGCUAUUGCUGGGCACAUUUGCUGUCACCAUGGGCUCACAGAUAAUAAACAUAAUUACCUCCAUGGUACCAGACAGUGCUUCUGCUCACAUAAAUAAUUUUGCAGCACUGUGACCCACCCCCAUGUGGUGUGCUCUGCUGCUAUAGAAUGUCGUGAUCCUAUUUCAGCAGGGUAUUAGCUGCACUGUAUCAAAGACGUGGAGCUGUUGAGCACAGCUCCUAGAAGAUUUUGGCCAUUCAUUAAAUUCCAG